rnacentral:rRNA from 1 species
UACGUAGGGGGCAAGCGUUGUCCGGAAUCAUUGGGCGUAAAGAGCGUGUAGGCGGCUCGGUAAGUCCGCUCUGAAAGCCCGGGGCUCAACCCCGGGAGGCGGGUGGAUACUGUCUAGCUCGAGUCCGGAAGAGGAGUGUGGAAUUCCUGGUGUAGCGGUGAAAUGCGCAGAUAUCAGGAGGAACACCAAUGGCGAAGGCAGCACUCUGGGACGUGACUGACGCUGAGACGCGAAAGCGUGGGAGCAACAGG